rnacentral:rRNA from 1 species
UACGUAGGGUGCAAGCGUUGUCCGGAAUUACUGGGCGUAAAGAGUUCGUAGGCGGUUUGUCGCGUCGUUUGUGAAAACCAGCAGCUCAACUGCUGGCUUGCAGGCGAUACGGGCAGACUUGGGUACUGCAGGGGAGACUGGAAUUCCUGGUGUAGCGGUGAAAUGCGCAGAUAUCAGGAGGAACACCGGUGGCGAAGGCGGGUCUCUGGGCAGUAACUGACGCUGAGGAACGAAAGCGUGGGUAGCGAACAGG